rnacentral:rRNA from 1 species
GACGAACGCUGGCGGCGUGCCUAAUACAUGCAAGUAGAACGCUGAAGAGAGGAGCUUGCUCUUCUUGGAUGAGUUGCGAACGGGUGAGUAACGCGUAGGUAACCUGCCUUGUAGCGGGGGAUAACUAUUGGAAACGAUAGCUAAUACCGCAUAACAAUGGAUGACACAUGUCAUUUAUUUGAAAGGGGCAAUUGCUCCACUACAAGAUGGACCUGCGUUGUAUUAGCUAGUAGGUGAGGUAAUGGCUCACCUAGGCGACGAUACAUAGCCGACCUGAGAGGGUGAUCGGCCACACUGGGACUGAGACACGGCCCAGACUCCUACGGGAGGCAGCAGUAGGGAAUCUUCGGCAAUGGGGGCAACCCUGACCGAGCAACGCCGCGUGAGUGAAGAAGGUUUUCGGAUCGUAAAGCUCUGUUGUAAGUCAAGAACGGGUGUGGGAGUGGAAAGUUCACACUGUGACGGUAGCUUACCAGAAAGGGACGGCUAACUACGUG